rnacentral:rRNA from 1 species
CCUACGGGGGACAGCAGUGAGGAAUAUUGGUCAAUGGCCGUAAGGCUGAACCAGCCAAGUCGCGUGAAGGAAGAAGGAUCUAUGGUUUGUAAACUUCAUUUAUAGGGGAAUAAAGGUCUCCUCGUGUGGAUGUUUGCAUGUACCCUAUGAAUAAGCAUCGGCUAACGCCGUGCCAGCAGCCGCGGUAAUACGGAGGAUGCGGGCGUUAUCCGGAGUUAGUGGGUUUAAGGGGGACGUGGGUAGUGUGUUAAGUGAGUGGUGAACGUUUGUGGCUUAACCAUAAAAUUGCCGUUGAAACUGGCAGACUUGAGGGCGGGUGAGGUAGGCGGAAUGCGUGGUGUAGCGGUGAAAUGCAUAGAUAUCACGCAGAACUCCGAUUGCGAAGGCAGCUUACUAGGCCAUAACUGACACUGAAGCACGAAAGCGUGGGGAUCAAACAGGAUUAGAUACCCCAGUAGUC